rnacentral:rRNA from 1 species
AUGUGUAAGUGGUGGCUUACAGGUCGGUAUGAUGACGUGAUCACGAUCAGAGCACAUUCUGCUAGUGCUGUCACAGCCUAUUGUGCUGAUACGAGAGAAAUGAUGCACCUGUUCAGCUUGAGCCAACUUUUUCUUCUUGUUGAUGCUGCAGUGGAGAAAGAAUUUAUGCGCGUACCUCUUUUGUGCGGCCGCGGCCAGACGACGCGUGAACCACCGCCGCCCGCCGUUGCUGUCGGGCACCGCAGCACCCGUGACCGGCCAGGGCAGGGGGUGGGGACUGGGGAGUACACGCUUGCCCAUGCCCAGCAAGGAAAGGAAAGGAAGGGAAAGGAGGCAUCCAUGCUAGGAUAA